ensembl:miRNA Mir3091 microRNA 3091
UGCUUGCGGGCCAUGGGUCUGGUUGGGCCCGCAGACUCGGAGUGCGGGCCUGACCAGUCUCAAGACCUGCGUGGUA